rnacentral:rRNA from 1 species
AGAGUUUGAUCAUGGCUCAGAUUGAACGCUGGCGGCAGGCCUAACACAUGCAAGUCGAGCGGUAGCACAGAGAGCUUGCUCUCGGGUGACGAGCGGCGGACGGGUGAGUAAUGUCUGGGAAACUGCCUGAUGGAGGGGGAUAACUACUGGAAACGGUAGCUAAUACCGCAUAAUGUCGCAAGACCAAAGUGGGGGACCUUCGGGCCUCAUGCCAUCAGAUGUGCCCAGAUGGGAUUAGCUAGUAGGUGGGGUAACGGCUCACCUAGGCGACGAUCCCUAGCUGGUCUGAGAGGAUGACCAGCCACACUGGAACUGAGACACGGUCCAGACUCCUACGGGAGGCAGCAGUGGGGAAUAUUGCACAAUGGGCGCAAGCCUGAUGCAGCCAUGCCGCGUGUGUGAAGAAGGCCUUCGGGUUGUAAAGCACUUUCAGCGGGGAGGAAGGCGAUAAGGUUAAUAACCUUGUCGAUUGACGUUACCCGCAGAAGAAGCACCGGCUAACUCCGUGCCAGCAGCCGCGGUAAUACGGAGGGUGCAAGCGUUAAUCGGAAUUACUGGGCGUAAAGCGCACGCAGGCGGUCUGUCAAGUCGGAUGUGAAAUCCCCGGGCUUAACCUGGGAACUGCAUUCGAAACUGGCAGGCUAGAGUCUUGUAGAGGGGGGUAGAAUUCCAGGUGUAGCGGUGAAAUGCGUAGAGAUCUGGAGGAAUACCGGUGGCGAAGGCGGCCCCCUGGACAAAGACUGACGCUCAGGUGCGAAAGCGUGGGGAGCAAACAGGAUUAGAUACCCUGGUAGUCCACGCCGUAAACGAUGUCGAUUUGGAGGUUGUGCCCUUGAGGCGUGGCUUCCGGAGCUAACGCGUUAAAUCGACCGCCUGGGGAGUACGGCCGCAAGGUUAAAACUCAAAUGAAUUGACGGGGGCCCGCACAAGCGGUGGAGCAUGUGGUUUAAUUCGAUGCAACGCGAAGAACCUUACCUGGUCUUGACAUCCACAGAACUUAGCAGAGAUGCUUUGGUGCCUUCGGGAACUGUGAGACAGGUGCUGCAUGGCUGUCGUCAGCUCGUGUUGUGAAAUGUUGGGUUAAGUCCCGCAACGAGCGCAACCCUUAUCCUUUGUUGCCAGCGGUUCGGCCGGGAACUCAAAGGAGACUGCCAGUGAUAAACUGGAGGAAGGUGGGGAUGACGUCAAGUCAUCAUGGCCCUUACGACCAGGGCUACACACGUGCUACAAUGGCAUAUACAAAGAGAAGCGACCUCGCGAGAGCAAGCGGACCUCAUAAAGUAUGUCGUAGUCCGGAUUGGAGUCUGCAACUCGACUCCAUGAAGUCGGAAUCGCUAGUAAUCGUAGAUCAGAAUGCUACGGUGAAUACGUUCCCGGGCCUUGUACACACCGCCCGUCACACCAUGGGAGUGGGUUGCAAAAGAAGUAGGUAGCUUAACCUUCGGGAGGGCGCUUACCACUUUGUGAUUCAUGACUGGGGUGAAGUCGUAACAAGGUAACCGUAGGGGAACCUGCGGUUGGAUCACCU